rnacentral:rRNA from 1 species
GACGAACCGUCCAAACGUUAUUCGGAAUCACUGGGCUUACAGAGUUCGUAGGCGGUCUGGAAAGUUGGGUGUGAAAUCCCUCGGCCUAACCGAGGAACUGCGCUUGAAACUACCAGACUCGAGGGAGAUAGAGGAAAGCGGAACUGAUGGUGGAGCGGUGAAAUGCGUUGAUAUCAUCAGGAACACCGGUGGCGAAGGCGGCUUCUGGGUCGUUACCUGACGCUGAGGAACG